CGGGGGGCUGCAGUAGGGAAUAUUGGUAAUGUGCGAAAGCGCGAACCAGCAACGCCGCGUGUGCGAUGAAGGCCUUCGGGUUGUAAAGCACUUUUCGGGAGGAAGAGGAAGGACUGUACUCCCGGAAUAAGUCUCGGCUAACUACGUGCCAGCAGCCGCGGUAAUACGUAGGAGGCAAACGUUAUCCGGAUUUACUGGGCGUAAAGCGCGUGCAGGCUGUUUGGUAAGUUGGGCGUGAAAGCUCCCGGCUCAACUGGGAGAGGUCGUUCAAUACUGCCAGACUAGAGGAUGGUAGAGGGAGGUGGAAUUCCGGGUGUAGUGGUGAAAUGCGCAGAUAUCCGGAGGAACACCAGUGGCGAAAGCGGCCUCCUGGACCAUUCCUGACGCUCAGACGCGAAAGCUAGGGUAGCAAACGGGAUUAGAUACCCCGGUAGUC
rnacentral:rRNA from 1 species